rnacentral:rRNA from 1 species
UACGAAGGGGGCUAGCGUUGCUCGGAAUCACUGGCGUAAAGGGUGCGUAGGCGGGUCUUUAAGUCAGGGGUGAAAUCCUGGAGCUCAACUCCAGAACUGCCUUUGAUACUGAAGAUCUUGAGUUCGGGAGAGGUGAGUGGAACUGCGAGUGUAGAGGUGAAAUUCGUAGAUAUUCGCAAGAACACCAGUGGCGAAGGCGGCUCACUGGCCCGAUACUGACGCUGAGGCACGAAAGCGUGGGAGCAAACAGG